GUACAGGAUGGACCCGCGUCUGAUUAGCUAGUUGGUAAGGUAACGGCUUACCAAGGCGACGAUCAGUAGCCGACCUGAGAGGGUGAUCGGCCACAUUGGAACUGAGACACGGUCCAAACUCCUACGGGAGGCAGCAGUGGGGAAUAUUGCACAAUGGGCGAAAGCCUGAUGCAGCAACGCCGCGUGAGUGAUGAAGGCCUUCGGGUCGUAAAACUCUGUCCUCAAGGAAGAUAAUGACGGUACUUGAGGAGGAAGCCCCGGCUAACUACGUGCCAGCAGCCGCGGUAAUACGUAGGGGGCUAGCGUUAUCCGGAUUUACUGGGCGUAAAGGGUGCGUAGGCGCUCUUUCAAGUCAGGAGUGAAAGGCUACGGCUCACCCGUAGUAAGCUCUUGAAACUGGGAGACUUGAGUGCAGGAGAGGAGAGUGGAAUUCCUAGUGUAGCGGUGAAAUGCGUAGAUAUUAGGAGGAACACCAGUUGCGAAGGCGGCUCUCUGGACUGUAACUGACGCUGAGGCACGAAAGCGUGGGGAGCAAACAGGAUUAGAUACCCUGGUAGUCCACGCUGUAAACGAUGAGUACUAGGUGUCGGGGGUUACCCCCUU
rnacentral:rRNA from 1 species